GACGAACGCUGGCGGCGUGCUUAACACAUGCAAGUCGAACGGUAAGGCCCUUCGGGGUACACGAGUGGCGAACGGGUGAGUAACACGUGGGUGAUCUGCCCUGCACUUUGGGAUAAGCCUGGGAAACUGGGUCUAAUACCGAAUAGGACCAUGGACUUCACGGUUUGUGGUGGAAAGCUUUUGCGGUGUGGGAUGGGCCCGCGGCCUAUCAGCUUGUUGGUGGGGUAAUGGCCUACCAAGGCGACGACGGGUUAGCCGGCCUGAGAGGGUGACCGGCCACACUGGGACUGAGAUACGGCCCAGACUCCUACGGGAGGCAGCAGUGGGGAAUAUUGCACAAUGGGCGCAAGCCUGAUGCAGCGACGCCGCGUGAGGGAUGACGGCCUUCGGGUU
rnacentral:rRNA from 1 species